rnacentral:pre_miRNA from 1 species
GAUUUCAACUGAAAAAGUCAUCAACAACAAAGUUCUAUAAUUCAUCAAGAUCUAUAACUUUUAUUUUGGUCAUUUUUUCAUCCGACAAAGUGUUAGUAACUUGUUCACAAAAUUACGUAUCUGUGUUAUAGUUUAUAAAACUAGAUGAGAGAUAUGUGAAUUUUGUGAACAUGUUACUAUUACUUUAUCGGAUGAAGAAAUGACCAAAUAAAAGUUAUAGAUAUUGAUGAGUUAUACAACUUUGUUGUUGAUGACUUUUUCACUUGAAAUC